rnacentral:rRNA from 2 species
GGGUUGUGAGGUUAAGCGACUAAGCGUACACGGUGGAUGCCCUGGCAGUCAGAGGCGAUGAAGGACGUGCUAAUCUGCGAAAAGCGCCGGCGAGGUGAUAUGAACCUUUGACCCGGCGAUGUCCGAAUGGGGAAACCCAGUGUGUUCCGACACACUAUCGUUAACUGAAUACAUAGGUUAACGAGGCGAACCGGGGGAACUGAAACAUCUAAGUACCCCGAGGAAAAGAAAUCAACCGAGAUUCCCCCAGUAGCGGCGAGCGAACGGGGAGCAGCCCAGAGUCUGAAUCAGCUUGUGUGUUAGUGGAAGCGUCUGGAAAGUCGCACGGUACAGGGUGACAGUCCCGUACACGAAAGCACACAGGUUGUGAACUCGAAGAGUAGGGCGGGACACGUGGUAUCCUGUCUGAAUAUGGGGGGACCAUCCUCCAAGGCUAAAUACUCCUGACUGACCGAUAGUGAACCAGUACCGUGAGGGAAAGGCGAAAAGAACCCCGGCGAGGGGAGUGAAAAAGAACCUGAAACCGUGUACGUACAAGCAGUGGGAGCACCUUCGUGGUGUGACUGCGUACCUUUUGUAUAAUGGGUCAGCGACUUAUAUUCUGUAGCAAGGUUAACCGUAUAGGGGAGCCGAAGGGAAACCGAGUCUUAACUGGGCGUUAAGUUGCAGGGUAUAGACCCGAAACCCGGUGAUCUAGCCAUGGGCAGGUUGAAGGUUGGGUAACACUAACUGGAGGACCGAACCGACUAAUGUUGAAAAAUUAGCGGAUGACUUGUGGCUGGGGGUGAAAGGCCAAUCAAACCGGGAGAUAGCUGGUUCUCCCCGAAAGCUAUUUAGGUAGCGCCUCGUGAACUCAUCUUCGGGGGUAGAGCACUGUUUCGGCUAGGGGGCCAUCCCGGCUUACCAACCCGAUGCAAACUACGAAUACCGAAGAAUGUUAUCACGGGAGACACACGGCGGGUGCUAACGUCCGUCGUGAAGAGGGAAACAACCCAGACCGCCAGCUAAGGUCCCAAAGUCAUGGUUAAGUGGGAAACGAUGUGGGAAGGCACAGACAGCCAGGAUGUUGGCUUAGAAGCAGCCAUCAUUUAAAGAAAGCGUAAUAGCUCACUGGUCGAGUCGGCCUGCGCGGAAGAUGUAACGGGGCUAAACCAUGCACCGAAGCUGCGGCAGCGACGCUUAUGCGUUGUUGGGUAGGGGAGCGUUCUGUAAGCCGUUGAAGGUGGCCUGUGAGGGUUGCUGGAGGUAUCAGAAGUGCGAAUGCUGACAUAAGUAACGAUAAAGCGGGUGAAAAGCCCGCUCGCCGGAAGACCAAGGGUUCCUGUCCAACGUUAAUCGGGGCAGGGUGAGUCGACCCCUAAGGCGAGGCCGAAAGGCGUAGUCGAUGGGAAACAGGUUAAUAUUCCUGUACUUGGUGUUACUGCGAAGGGGGGACGGAGAAGGCUAUGUUAGCCGGGCGACGGUUGUCCCGGUUUAAGCAUGUAGGCGGAGGUUCCAGGUAAAUCCGGUACCUUUUAACGCUGAGGUGUGAUGACGAGGCACUACGGUGCUGAAGUAACAAAUGCCCUGCUUCCAGGAAAAGCCUCUAAGCAUCAGGUAACAUCAAAUCGUACCCCAAACCGACACAGGUGGUCAGGUAGAGAAUACCAAGGCGCUUGAGAGAACUCGGGUGAAGGAACUAGGCAAAAUGGUGCCGUAACUUCGGGAGAAGGCACGCUGAUAUGUAGGUGAAGCCCCUGCGGGUGGAGCUGAAAUCAGUCGAAGAUACCAGCUGGCUGCAACUGUUUAUUAAAAACACAGCACUGUGCAAACACGAAAGUGGACGUAUACGGUGUGACGCCUGCCCGGUGCCGGAAGGUUAAUUGAUGGGGUUAGCGGCAACGCGAAGCUCUUGAUCGAAGCCCCGGUAAACGGCGGCCGUAACUAUAACGGUCCUAAGGUAGCGAAAUUCCUUGUCGGGUAAGUUCCGACCUGCACGAAUGGCGUAAUGAUGGCCAGGCUGUCUCCACCCGAGACUCAGUGAAAUUGAACUCGCUGUGAAGAUGCAGUGUACCCGCGGCAAGACGGAAAGACCCCGUGAACCUUUACUAUAGCUUGACACUGAACACUGGUCCUUGAUGUGUAGGAUAGGUGGGAGGCUUUGAAGUGUGGACGCCAGUCUGCAUGGAGCCGUCCUUGAAAUACCACCCUUUAAUGGCUGGUGUUCUAACGUAGACCCGUAAUCCGGGUUGCGGACAGUGUCUGGUGGGUAGUUUGACUGGGGCGGUCUCCUCCCAAAGAGUAACGGAGGAGCACGAAGGUUAGCUAAUCCUGGUCGGACAUCAGGAGGUUAGUGCAAUGGCAUAAGCUAGCUUGACUGCGAGAGUGACGGCUCGAGCAGGUGCGAAAGCAGGUCAUAGUGAUCCGGUGGUUCUGAAUGGAAGGGCCAUCGCUCAACGGAUAAAAGGUACUCCGGGGAUAACAGGCUGAUACCGCCCAAGAGUUCAUAUCGACGGCGGUGUUUGGCACCUCGAUGUCGGCUCAUCACAUCCUGGGGCUGAAGUAGGUCCCAAGGGUAUGGCUGUUCGCCAUUUAAAGUGGUACGCGAGCUGGGUUUAGAACGUCGUGAGACAGUUCGGUCCCUAUCUGCCGUGGGCGCUGGAGAAUUGAGGGGGGCUGCUCCUAGUACGAGAGGACCGGAGUGGACGCAUCACUGGUGUUCGGGUUGUCAUGCCAAUGGCACUGCCCGGUAGCUAAAUGCGGAAAAGAUAAGUGCUGAAAGCAUCUAAGCACGAAACUUGCCCCGAGAUGAGUUCUCCCUGAGACUUUAAGUCUCCUGAAGGAACGUUGAAGACGACGACGUUGAUAGGUCGGGUGUGUAAGCGCAGCGAUGCGUUGAGCUAACCGAUACUAAUGAACCGUGAGGCUUAACCUUACAACGCCGAAGGUGUUU